GUUAUGUUUGGGACUUGGUUUUAAGAAAUGAUGUCAAAGUAACAUUAUGAAAAUAUUUUUAGUAAGCUGAAAUAUAUAUUUAUUUUUUACUGACAUGUUUAUGUCUUGUAAGAUAUCUUACUUCUGUCCCGUUUUUCAACAUUUGCGUCUGGAAAGUUGAAAUGUUUAAACUGAAUGGUUAAUUUAAAUUAAUUAUGAAAAUUGUUAAAAUUAAAUCAAUAAAGGAAAUUAUUGCCCAGUUACAAACACUACCAGGGGAUAAUCCAUAAUGAUUUUUUUUAGUUAUAUGUUUCAGCACAUGUAUAAUUAACCCCAACUUUAGCCUGGUAAACUUGUGGUCUCCUUGUGAAAUAUAAAACAUAUAAAAAUGAUUUCCUGCUAAAGUCUUUUAUUGAUAUAAAGUUAAAACCUUCUUACUCUCCUAGACAUCACUCAGUCCUGUCAGGUUUAAUCUAUAUAUGUGGAUGAAAAAUAAAAGUCAAAACAUUAACAUGCAGCAAUUGCUUUACAGCUUUAAGCUUGAUUUCUUUUUACAGAAGAGUGUCCACCAGCACUUGCACUGCCUAUAAUAAUAGUAGAAUAGAAUAUCUAUACAAAUAGAUGAAAUUAUAUAUACAUGCAAUCGUUAUAUAAUAUAAUAACAACAACAGUGUAUUCUCUACGAUAUUAUUAUAAGUAUAAUAGUCCAGUAUCUGAUUUCUUGCACUACAAAUAUAGUUAUACGGUGAGGUGAAUUCCUGUCAUUUAUUCAUCAUCCAAGCACGAACUUGUUUCAGAAAAAAAUAUCUUUUUCAAUUAACCUCAGUUUCGGAUAUAGAGAUGUGGUCUGUUUCUGUGACUGUUUUUACCAUCCACAAGAACUGCGGUCAUCCCAUGUUCAGUACUUCAGAAUUUGGCCCAUCAGAUGGAAUGGUUUUAUCUACUGCUCUUGCCAACCAAAUGAAGGUUGUUUGAAAAGUACCUUCAAAGCAUCAUUCCUGCUAACUUUAACUAAAAUUGGCAAUGAAGUUUUUAGAGAAAAUGAUGAUAAUAUUCCUUAUAGAGUUUGAAUGGGAAGUAUUUGUCACUAUGUUUGCAACAAAAUCAACAACAAAUGAGGUUGGUGUUGUAAAAUACUUUACUUUCUUUUAUUAUAGACAUUUUCGUAUAGUUGUUGAAUGUCUUAACGUCGUUUACUGCGGUAAUUACAUAACUGUAUAUAUUCGACGUCGCUACUUAGCGACGAUGAGUAGCGACGAUGUUGUAUUCAUAUGUAGUUUAGAUAAAGAUUUUGUUCUAUGAAGACAUUCUUCAUUAUUUCGUUAGAAUAUAUGUCAAAGUUGGUUUGUAGAGGGUCCUAAAAUCAUCAAAACCACAAAUAUUAAAGCGUUUCUUUGCAGUUUCAGAGAAGAUUUUAUGAGUCUAUCUUAAAUUUCAGUACAAUAAAAAUAGAUUGUUUGAGUUUGAAAAUAUAAACAAGUUGUCUACAAAACAGGAAACUUAGUGGGCUCCACUUUUCUUCCUGUUUGUAAGUCUAGCACAAAUAAAUGAUGUAUUUCUAACACCUUCAUAUAUUGUAUAUUUUAUAUAAAUGUAUCAAAUAAAAAAUGUGUAAAACACAAAAGAAAGAUUAACUUAUUCAUAAAGAUAACUUUUGAAAAUACAAUUCUUAAUUUGAUUCCUGAUUAAAUAUUAAAAGUAAACGAAUUAAGGGGAGAUAACAGAUGACGCGACUGUUAGUUUAUAGCGUGUAUACUAUUGAUACUGUAAUAUUAAAAUACAACCUCAGUUAUCUCCCUUACACUAGCACUGUAAAGGUUGCACUUUGUAAAUACAACUGUUUCUCAAACCAUGCCUCUUUUUGGGAGAUUUAGAAUAUUCAUAGAAAAUUAAUUUUGUUUACAUACUGGUGCCCAGUUAUGCUCUCUGUGUUCCAUCUCAUAGAGAUAUAACUUGGGAAUGUUACCAGUAAAUCUACAUAACAGGCUAUUAUUGUCGAGCCUUCAACCUUAGUCGAAAAAGUGAGACUGAGCGAUCCUACAUUCUGUCCUUGUCGUCAGCAGCGGCGUCCACAAAUAUUCACUCUGUGGUUAAAGUUUUUGAAAUUUUAAUAACUUUCUUAAACUAUAUGGAUUUCAACCAAACUUGGACAGGCUUUUUAUGAUCAUAAGAAAGUGGUCCAGAAGUAAUUUUGUAAAAACAAAUUUUAUUUUUUCGUAUUUUACUUAUAAAUGGACUUAGUUUACUGCGAGGAAACAUUACAUUCACUCUGUAGUUAAGUUUUAAAAUUUUAUAACUUUCAUAAACUAUCAGAUUUGUACAAACUUGACAGAAGCUUUUAUGAUCAUAAGAUGAUCAAGAAAAAAUUUUGUAAAAAUAAUUUCCACUUUCGUAUUUGAACUUAUAAAUGGACUAGUUUUUUUCCAGAAACAAAACAUUCACUCUGUGGUUUAAGUUUUUUAAAUUUUUAUAAUGUUCUUAAACUAUCCUGGAUUUCUACCAAACUUGGACAAAAAUUUGUUUCUGACAAAGAUAUUAUCAGAAGUAAAUUUUGUAAAAAAAAAUUCACUUUUCCGUAUUUACUUAUAAUGGACUUAGUUUUUUUUCCAAGAUAACUUGCAUGCAGUCUGCUUAAAUUUAAACAUUUAUUAGAUUCAUAAACUAUCCUGGACUUUUACCAAACUUGAAAGCUUUUUUCAAUCAAAAGACAGUAAUGAGAGGGAAAUUUUUAUUGAUGUUUUUCCUCAUUUUUGUUGAGUCUGUGAUUAAUAGCAAAAGUAGGCGAGACACUGGUUCCGUGGAACCCAUUACAAUUUUAUACUUUGUUUUUGCACUCUACUUUAGUAAAAGUGAAUAGAAAUUAGAAAUUUUAACACAAGUUUAGACAAAAAGUUGGGAUUGAUUUGGGAUUUGGAUUAUUUUAGGAAUAGGGGCAAAGGGCCAAAUAGCAUUUUAGCUUUUCGCACAAUAACUGAAGUUUUAGUAUAUAGAAAUCUAUAAAUUUUGACACAAGGUUUAUGACCACAAAAGGAGUUGGGAUUGAUUUUGUGAGUGGGUUCUACAGUUGAAUUCGGGCCAAAAAAGGGCAAAAGCAUUAUCUGGUUUUCGCACAAUAACUUUGUUUAAGUAAAUAGAAAUCAAGAAAUUUAAACACAAGGUUUACGACCAAAAAGGAAGGUUAGUAUUGAUUUUGGGGAGUUGAGGUCUGAACAGUUUAGGAAUUAGGGCCAAAAAGGGCCCAAGUAAGAUUAUUCUUGGUUUUCGCAAUAACUUAGUUUAAAGUAUAAUAGAAACUAUGAAAUUUAAACACAAGGUUUAUGACCACUAAAGGAAGGUUGGGUUUGAUUUUGGGAGUUUUGGUCCCAAGUUUAGGAAUAAGGGGCCAAAGGGUCCAAAAUUGAAUUAGUUGAUUUCAUCAAAAAUUGAAUAUGGGGUCUUGAUAUGCGAAUCUAACUGUGUGUGAUUCGAAUUUUGGUCCCGUUUUUGGUUACAUAAAGGUCCAAAGGCCAAAAUUAACUUAGUGAUUUUAACAAAAUUGAUCCUUGGGGUUCUUUAAUAUGUUGAAUCUAAAAUACUUAGAUUUUUGAUUAUUGGCUGUUUUCAGUUGGUCCAAUCGGGUCACCAACUUUGUUUGAUUUCAUCAAAAUUGAAUAAUUGGGUUCUUUGAUAUGCAAAUCUCUGUGUAUGUAGAUUCUUAAUUUAGUCCCGUUCUUCAAAUUGGUCUACAUAAAUCCAAAGGGUCCAAAAUUAACUAAUUUGAUUUUACAAAAAUUGAAUUCUUGAACUUCUUUGAUAUGCUGAAUCUAAACAUGUACUUAGAUUUUUGAUUAUGGCCAGUUUUCAAGUUGGUUCAAAUCAGGAUCCAAAAUUAUUAUAUAAGUAUGUGCAAUAGCAAGAAAUUUUCAAUUGCUCAGUAUUCAGCAAUAGCAUGAAAUCUUCAAUUGCACAGUAUUGUGCAAUAGCAAGAAAUUUUUAAUGGCACAGUAUUGUGCAAUAGCAAGAAAUCUUCAAUUGCACAGUAUUGUGCAAUAGCAAAUAUUUUCAAUUGCACAGUAUUGCGCAAUAGUAAGAAAUUCUAAUUGCACAAUAUUGUGCAAUACAAGAAAUUUUCAAUUGAUUGGAGUUAUCUUUCUUUGUCCAAAAUAGUAGUUAAUCAAUUAAAUCAUUGUUUUAUACAAUAUACAAUUAUAUUCACUUUUACUAAACUGAUAAAUUAAAAAAUCUUUACCAUUAGUGAUAACAAGCACCUUUUGUUACAUUUAAAUAUUUUAUGAUGUACUUAAAUUAGUAGUUAUUGUUGCAAACUCCAUUAGAAAUUUGAAUUGAGAUCAGUUUUGAAAAAGGGAAAGGGGGAUGUGAAAAAAAAAAAUGGGGGUGGGGGGUUAAAUUUUUCAUUUCAGAUUUUCAUAAAUAAAAGAAAAUUUCUUCAAACAUUUUUUUGAGAGGAUUAAUAGUUCAACAAGUGAUUGCUCAAAGAAAAAAAAAGUAUUUUAAGUUCAUUAGACCACAUCAUUCUGUGUCAGAACCUAUGCUGUGUCAACUAUUUAAUCACAAUCCAAUUUAGAGCUGAUCCAGCUUGAAUGUUGUGUCCAUACUUGCCCUAACUGUUCAGGGUUCAACCUCUGCGGUCGUAUAAAGCUGCGCCCUGCGGAGCAUCUGGUUUGAACUUGGAAUUAUUUUUAAUUAUGGAAUUUGCAUAAUUUCUUGUGUUUAAUUUUUUUUAAUAAAUUCCAUGUUCAUUCUGUACCUUACUGUUCUGUGCUGUGCACAACACUUUCUGUUACAAAGAAGAUAGUACAUUUUCAAUACAAUGUACUGUGCUGCACACAACACUAUCUAUACAAAAUACAUUGAAAGGAAAGUUUUAUGAACCGCUCAAAACAUUAUAAUACCAAAUAAACAUGAAAUUUAUUAAAAAAUUCAAGCACAUGAAAUAAUGCAAAUUCCAUAAUUAAAAAUAAUUCCAAGUUUAAAUAAUAGCCUGUUACAUGUUCAUAUUGUUUACAUUGAAAUCUGUGGUAAUCCUUCAUUCGAGGUAGGAGUAGUUAUGACUUCACUUGGAUGAAAGGUUGUCAAAUUGACACUCAUACCACAUCUUAUAUCUAUGUGUAGAGUACUAUUGAUAAGGCUUUCAAACACCACCUCAAACUACCGGUUAACCGGUUAAUCAGUCGAACAUUUAUUCGAGUAACCAGUUAGGAAAAAGUGUACGAUUUGACAACACACUGGUAAUUUAAUUGUUGAAAAUAUGCCGCACAGCCCUAAUUUUGAACUUUGAUAAAAAUUGUAGUGCAUAUGAACAUUCAAUUCUAGGAUAAGAUUUUUUUCAAAGCUUCAUAGUAAAAGUGGUACAGUUUUAGCUGAAAAAGGAGUUCUAUGGGACAUUGCAUUGUCAAUAUUAACAGAAAUGCAACCUAAAGACUGUAUAUUCAAAAAAUCAUUCUGUGGAUUUUUUUUAUUUUAUAAUUUUCUGUGCAUUAGACUAUUCUCAUUCUAUGAAUACAAACUAAUAUCAGUGGCGGAUCCAGAAACUUUCAAAAAGGGUGAACUGAAUGGCUAAGAGGGGACCCACUCCAGUCAUGCUUCAGCGAUUCCCUAAAUGAUCAACCAACUUUUUCCCAAAAAGGGGGAAGGGGAAAGGGGGGGGGGGGCCUGGAAAACCCUCUUAAUCUGCCUCUUAAUAUGGAUUUCCUUGAUAGCAAUAACAAGAAAAUUCCAAAUUUUAAAAUAUUGUCAGUAACCAGUUCCACUUUGACAUGUGAAGUUAUGGGUUUUAAUCUGGAAAUAACACAAAAAAUGUUGAAAGUAAAGAUUUCUAUAAGGACUUAUCAUUAACCUUGAACAAUUCGGUAAAAAGUUGAAAAUUAAAUUUAUAUGCCUUGAAAUUAUUUUUAAAUGUUAACUGAGUUAACCUUUACCAAAUCAUUUAUAAAAUAUAAAAAUGUUGUAAGGACUGCGCCUACAAUAACCUCAUGGAUAGUUAGGGUAUUUUAAUGUUUAAGUGAAAACAAAACACAGGUCAUGCAAAAGAAGCUUAACAUUGUUCUUAGUUUCCUUGACUUAAAGUUUUUAUACAUCAAAUUUUAUUUUUUUUAUUUUUCAAAUUGCAAAUUUUUUCAAAUUUUCAAAAUCUUUAUUUGCACAGAAUUGUGCAAUAGAUUUGUUAGAUCUUGAUAUUUAUUUUGUGUCAGAAACCUAUACUAUGUCAAAAAUUUGAUCACAAUCCAAAUUCAGACAGAAUCAAGCUUGAAUAUUGUGUCCAAAUUUGCCACAACUGUUCAAGGUUCAACCUCUGCGGUCGCCGGUCAUAUCAGGCUAUACUCUAGGAAGCAUUUUUUUCAUAUUUAUAAUGAUACUAUCUUUGAAAAGGAAAAGGAGGAUUUAUUUUCAUGGACCUAUUCUUUUUGUAUUUGAUAAUGUCUCAAGAGCAUAUUUCCCUCUACAAGCAAAGGUUUAUUAUUUUUAUAAUUUCAAACAAUAUCCUCCAGUUUUUCAGAGUUAUUUCCCAUAGAAUAAUACUGUUCUGCUAAAUCUUCUUUACUAAUUGAUUGGUGAUCAUUGCAUGUUAUUUUCAUACUAGAAAUGUAAUUAAUUGUCAGAAAAAUGUGAAACAUUUUUAGUUUAUUGAUUGCAAACCACAUCAAAUGCACAUUAACAAAUACUAAUUUGCAACAACCUGUUUUUUUAUCGACAUAAAUGAUUACUUUUGAAUUAUUUUAAAUCACAUAAAUAUGUCUAUAUGCUGAAGGGAAGAGUGUUUCUUUGUGAAAUAUGAGAAAUUGAUAGGUAUGUCUGACCAGAAUUGUAAGUUUUAUGUAAUCAUUUAAGAGUUCUCAGGUGAAACUAAUUAAUGCCAGGUAACAGACAGGUAAUAAAUCUUAAUUAGUUUUGUGUCAAUUUUACACAACUUCUAAAAUACUUUAUCUUGUCUUAAAUAGUGUAAUUUGACUCUUAUUUUGAAAUGAAUUAAAUCUCAUGCAAUUUGUAAGUUACAAGUUCACUAUACAUAAAACUUUAACUCAGAAUCUAUGAAUAGAUCUUGUUUUGACUUUAUAACUGUGUGGAACAUAAAUAAGUAUAGGGAAAGAUUUUUGUGGUUUAAAGUAUUAUUUUUUUUUUAAUUUCAAGUUUUUAUUUAAAAACAGAUAAUGACUAGGCUUCUGACAUAAAUACAGACAAUUUCAGAAAAAAGGUUUACGAUGUCAAACUAAGUCUGAUAUCAAUGAUAAACAACUCUUACAGUUUGCUUUAACUUGUAAAAUUAACCAAGAAAGAGUCUAAGAUUUCAUAUUUUUUCUCCUAAUAAAAAUUUAAAGCAAUAAAUGCAAUGUCUGCUUUAAGAGAUGAAUAAAAUGAAUUAAUAAUGUAAAAAUAAAUGCCUAUCAGAAAAGCACAUCAGAUACAAUUAUUAUACAAUAUUGACUUAUCAUUUGUAAGUGGGAAUCUUUAGUUUCCAUGGAAACAAAAUGCUUAGGUUUGAAAGUAAAAGUAGAUAAAUAAGAUUACCUAUAGAUAUGAGGUCAGUUUGAUCUGCUAUCAUUGAUGGGAAGUACAAGUGUCUCAUCUGCAGAAAUAAUUACCAAACUGUUCAAUUGCCUCAGGUGUUUUAAAUCUAGAAAGGGAUAUCAAUGACCACAGUAGCAUUGUGGUCAAUAAGAAGUACUACUAUGGCUUAUACAAAUGUACCAGUAUAUAUAGAUAUAAGAAAAUGUGUACAAUACAUUUAUAGUGAGUUUUGCACAUUUUUAGUUUUUGUCGAGCCUGCAACUUUUGUUGCAGUAAGCUCAACAUAGGGAUAGUGAUCCGGCGGCGUCGGCGUUAGCUAACUUCUUAAAAGCUUUAUAUUUUAGAAGGUGGAAGACCUGGAUGCUUCAUACUUUGUAUAUAGAUGCCUCAUGUUACAAAGUUUCCGUCAGUCACAUGUCCAAUGUCCUUGACCUCAUUUUCAUGGUUCAGUGACUACUUGAAAAAAAAGUUCAAAUUUUUUGUAAUGUUGAAUUCUCUCUUAUUAUAAGUAAUAGGAUAACUAUAUUUGAUAUGUGCGUACCUUGAAAGGUCCUCAUGUCUGUCAGACAGUUUUCACUUGACCUCGACCUCAUUUCAUGGAUCAGUGAACAAGGUUAAGUUUUGGUGGUCAAGUCCAUAUCUCAGAUACUAUAAGCAAUAGGGCUAGUAUAUUCGGUGUGGAAGGACUGUAAGGUGUACAUGUCCAACUGGCAGGUGUCAUCUGACCUUGACCUCAUUUUCAUGGUUCAGUGGUUAUAGUUAAACUUUUGUGUUUUGGUCUGUUUUUCUCAUACUGUAUGCAAUAGGUCUACUAUAUUUGUUGUACGGAAUGAUUGUAAGGUGUACAUGUCUAGCGGGCAGUUGUUAUGUGACCUUGACCUCAUUUUCAUGGUUCAGUGGUCAAAGUUAAGUUUUUGUGUUUUGGUCUUUUUAUCUAAUACUAUAUGCCAUAGGUCAACUAUAUUUGGUGUAUGGAAAUAUUUUAUGAUCUUUAUGUCAGUCGCGCAGGUUUUAUUUGACCAUGACCUCAUUUUCACAGUUCAUUGCACAGUGUUAAGUUUUUGUGUUUUGGUCUAUUUUUCUUAAACUAUAAGUAAUAGGUCAACUAUAUAUGUUGUAUAGAAGCAUUGUAAGCUGUACAUGUCUGCCUGGCAUGGUUCAUCUGACCUUGACCUCAUUUUCAAGGUUCAUUGGUCUUUGUUUAGUUAUCUUGGUUAAUGUUAAGUUUAUGUGACAGUUGUUAUAAAGCUUAGCUUUAUACUUAGGACUAUCAACAUAAUAUCAAUGAUUAGUAUAGAAGGCGAGACAUUUCAGCGUGUGCACUCUUGUAUAAAUUUUGUACUUAUCCUAUAAUAACUAGCAAAAAUCUGCUAGCAUUAUUUGAAAGUAUUUCACAAAAUGCAUCAGUAAAUAGUAGAAGAAUAGUUCUGGACAGACUAUAUCAUUUUAGUGCUAAUGGGAAAUCAGAUUGCAACAUGGCUGUUACAUGGAUUAAUAUGAAUUAUACAUGCAAGAAGAAACAGUUCCAUAACUUUUUAGUAGAACAUGUUCUUUUGAACUUAAUCUCCUGAUUAUAAAACUAAAGAUGGCUACCUGGUAACCAUCACAAACCAAACCAGUAGGUUAUGCUGGAAAUAUGGAAACUAGCAUAACAGGUCAUUGGUUUUCUGUUCUGUAUUGUUCCUCAUUUUUUCUGGCCUUUUUAGCUUACUACAUGGUAUGGGUUUUGCUCAUUGUUGACGGCUGAACACUGACCUGUUGUUGUUUACAUCAUUGUACUUUCUUCUUUCAUUUUUUCUUUCUUUUGACAACCCUGCAUACCGUCAAUAUCCACUUAAGGAAUCUCUACCUUCACUAAACUUUAGAGGCGUUGGUUCAGCAGUCCGCCAUUUCUUCUUUCAUGGAUAAUUGUUUUCUUAUCUGCAAUUGAUACCACAUCUCAUUCAUUUGACCCACUCAGUCGUCCUUGUCUGUUAACUUUUACAAAUAUAUUCUCCUUUAGAACAAGAUGGCUCAGUCACCAAAAUUUCAUGAAAACUGCUCAAAAAACUUUUGGGUCAUUGUUCAAAACUGGAAAAUCCCCCUUUUCUAAUGAAAAUCUUGAUAUAAAGGUAAAAUCUAAAAUUUCCAAAGAUCAAAAGGAAGCUUACACCAAUACAUAUUGCCAAUUCACAAAAUGUUUCAUGAAAACUGCACAAAGGAUUUUUGGGUAUUGUCUGAAUGCUGGAAAAUCCCUCUUUUUCAAUCAAUAAACAUAACCCACUAUCUAGGAAAUAUUAAAUCUAAAAUUCAUAAAAAUUGAAAUGGUGCUUCCAUUAAUGCAAAUUGCUUAUAGUGUUUUUUUAGUUUGUGUCCGACAUGUUGAUGACGGACAGACAGAUAGAAAAAAGGUCUUGUAAAAGGGCUUAUAAAAAUAGACAAUAAGGUUUUGUCUUUUAUUUUUGCCUUGUAUAUUUAAAAUUAUAAUAGAUGGAUGCUUGAAUAUGAAAAAGAAAUUCAGCAAGACAAGACAUACAAAUAGGAUGAUAUGGAGGAAAUUGUCUGAAGAUUCAUUAUUGGAGUUAUUGCCCUUUUAGGAAGAUUUUUAUUAAUUUUUGGCGUUUUGCCUUCAAUAAUUUUUUUUUUUAGAUAAAUAGACACUUGAAAUCAUAUAAAACCAAGGCAAUAUCUACUAAUAACAAGUAAAAUUUAUCAAUAUAGUCAGUAAACUGUCACUCUUUGGAUGAGUGAUUGCCCUUUUAAUUAGGAUUUGACCAAAAACUAAAGAAGAUAGAGAGAAUCUAUAAAUGAGAAAAAAUUAACAGCAAUACAAGAAGAAAACAGAUUUUUGUGACGAAUUCGAUUAUCAUCUACAAUAUUGGAGGAUGUCCUUUUUAGCUCACCUUUCCAAAAGGAAAUGUAAGCUUUUGCCAUCACUUGGCGUCCGUCGUCGUCCGUCCGUCCGUCCGUCGUCAUCGUCGUAAACUAUUUCAAAAAUCUUCUCCUCUGAAACUACUGAACCAAUUCAAACCAAACUUCAUCUGAUUGAUUCCUAGGGUAUCUAGAAUAAAGUUUGUGUUUUAAUUCCCAUUUCAUCAAAAAAUAUGGCCGCCAUGGCUAAAAAUAGAACAUAGGGUAAAAUUGCAGUUUUUAGCUUAUAACUCAAAAACCAAAGCAUUUAGAGCAAAUCUGACAUGGGUAAAAUUGUUUAUCAGGUCAAGAUCUAUCUGCCCUGAAAUUUUUAGAUGAAUCGGACAACCCGUUGUUAGGUUGCUGCCCCUGAAUUGGUAAUUUUAAGGAAAUUUUGCUGUUUUUGGUUAAUAUCAUGAAUAUUAUUAUAGAUAGAGAUAAACUUUAAACAGCAAAAAUGUUCAGCAAAGUAAGAUUUACAAAUAAGUCAACAUGACCAAAAUGGUCAGUUGACCCCUUUAGGAGUUAUGGCCCUUUAUAGUCAAUUUUUAACCAUUUUCCGUAAAUCUUAGUUAUCUUUUACAAAAAUCUUCUCCUCUAAAACUACUGGGCCAAAUUGAACCAAACUUGGCAACAAUCAUCAUUGGGGUAUCUAGUUUAAAAAUUGUGUCCGGUGACCCGGCCAACCAACCAAGAUGGCCACCUUGGCUAAAAAUAGAACAUAGGGGUAAAAUCAGUUUUUGGCUUAUAACUCAAAAACCAAAGCAUUUAGAGCAAAUCUGACAGAGGUUAAAUGGUUUAUCAGGUCAAGAUCUAUCUGCCCUGAAAUUUUCAGAUGAAUCAGACAACCGAUUGUUAGGUUGCUGCCUCUGAAUUGGUUAUUUUAAGGAAAUUUUGCUGUUUUUGGUUAUUAUCAUGAAUAUUAUUAUAGAUAGAGAUAAACUGUAAACAGCAAAAAUGUUCAGCAAAGUAAGAUUUACAAAUAAGUCAACAUGACCGAAAUGGUCAGUUGACCCCUUUAGGAGUUAUGGCCCUUUAUAGUCAAUUUUUAACCAUUUUCCGUAAAUCUUAGUUAUCUUUUACAAAAAUCUUCUCCUCUGAAACUACUGGGCCACAUUUAACCAAACAUGGCCAAAAUCAUUAUUAGGGUAUUUAGUUUAAAAAUUGUGUCCGGUGACCCGGCUAACCAAACCAAGAUGGCCGCCAUGGCUAAAAAUAGAACAUAGGGGUAAAAUGCAGUUUUUAGCUUAUAACUCACAAACCAAAGCAUUUAGAGCAAAUCUGACAUGGUGUAAAAUUGUUUAUCAGGUCAAGAUUUAUCUGCCUUGAAAUUUUCAGAUGAAUCGGACAACCCGUUGUCGGGUUGCUGCCCCUGAAUUGGUAAUUUUAAGGAAAUUUUGCUGUUUUUGGUUAUUAUCUUGAAUAUUAUUAUAGAUGUAGAUAAACUGUAAACAGCAAUAAUGUAAUGCUUGGGGUAUACAAUGUUUUUUUAUACUUGCAUCAUAAAUUAUAUUAUGAACACGAGACAAACGAGACAUUUCAGUGUGUCCACUCUUGUUUUGCUUUUGAAGAAGAUAUGACAGAAUCGAAGCACAUUAAUAUAAAAAUAUAAAUUGAAAACCCAAAAUAAUCAUUCAUGGAAGAUUUAAGCAAAAAAUUUAAGGUGAGCGAUUCAGGCUCUUGAGAGCCUCUUGUUUGAAUAUGCACAUCAACCAAUGUGAGUGACAUAUGCUCUUUAGAGCCUCUAGUAUGUUUCUAUCACAUACAUUGUACUUGUAUAGUGAUGAUUCAACCUAUAAAUAUGUUUUAAAAUUGGUUAUAUUCUAGUCAAUUUCAGGUAUGUUUACAUCUUCUUCUCUUUAGAAAUUAACUCUGUUAAUAGGUCAAUUAAUGAUAGAAUAUUUAUAGAUGGUUUGAAGAGUAUUCUAUUGACUUUUUCUUUUACUUUUUAUAGGACUGCAAAAAUUAUUUUGGGAUGGUAUAAUGAUGUCGCCUGCAUCGUCAGAAGACACAUUUGAUGUUCAAACAAUAACUUUAGUUUAUGUGAAUGGAUUGCUAUGAAAUUUAAAAACUACAAAAUUAAGGUUGGGAUUGAUAUUGGGGAUGAUGAUCCCAAUGGUUUUGGAAAAAGGGGCCCGGAAGUAAGCCAGAACAAGCAUUUUUCUACUUUUAGGAUAUUAACUUGUGUAUAAUAAUAAUAAUAAUAAUAAUAAUUCUUUAUUUAAAGAGGGUUACACAGUUAGCUGUAAAGCUAAUCUUCCCUGAGGCCCUCAUGAAAUACAAUGAAAUAUAACAAACAAUUACAAAAUAUCAAACAGACACACAUACAUGAAUAAUGAAAUAAAAAAUUGUUAUAUGAAAUAUACAAUUUUCAAAACAGGUAAAAAGUUACAAAUUCAUAUAUGACAUGUAUAGUAUUGGCAUCAACAAUAUCAUAAGUUUGAGUAAGUGUGUGAAAAUUAUUAUCUAUACUAUUAAACGAGAAGACCUCAUUUUGGGUGUCGCUUCUCCUCCUUCCACAAUAAAUUAAUCAUCAUGCCUCUGUGUCCUAUAGGUAACAUGUAUAGUCGCAUUUGUCAUCCAUUCUUAUGGAUCAUUCAGUUGGGUUAUUUUGGGAUAAAAACGAAAAAGAAUGCGUCCGGAUAUUUUCCCGUCAUUGGACAAAACUUUAAGUCAGAUUAGACUUCCGGUUUGUGUUUUUCUGUACUUUGAACAUACAAAGACUAUGAAUAAAGUAUAUACAUUUUAUUUCUGCUGUCAUUUUGAGUUCUAGCAUGUAUCAUCCUUGCUUAACGUGUUUCAGUUUGGGUUAUUUUGGGAGGAAAACGAAAAUGAAUAUAUUUGCUAUUUACUAUCAAUUAGUUUACAGUGGAUCCAGAACUUUUCAUAAGGGAGGGGGCACUGACUGACCUAAAAGGGGGGGGGGCGUUCCUCUCAUGCUUCAGUGAUUCCCCAUAUAUAUAAUCAACAAAUUUUUUUCAACGAAAUGGGGGCAGGGCCUCCAGCCCCCCUGGGAUCCGCCUAUGGUUUAUAAUCAACGGCGGUCACUGCGGAUAUAUUUCUGUACAUACUUACAUGUAUACAUUUACUAUGAAUAACUGUAUUUGUUAUAAUUUACUAUAAAUUCCUUUUCUGUACCUUGCACAUACAAAGACUAUGAAUAAAGUAUAUAAAUUUGCUAUCUGCUAUCAUUUUGAGUUAGCAUUCAUCAUACUUGCUUAACGUGUUUCAGUUUGGGUUAUUUUGGGAGGAAAACGAAAAUGAAUAAUAUUGGCUAUUUACUAUCAAUUAGUUUACAGUGGCGGAUCCAGAACUUUUCAUUAGGGGGUGGGGGGCGUUCCUCUCAUGCUCCAGUGAUUCCCCAUAUAAUCAACAACAUUUUUACUAUUCAUGGCGUUCACUGAUGUAUAUAUAUAUAUAAUAUAUAUAUAUAUAUAUAUAUAUAUAUAUAUAUAUAUAUAUAUAUAUAUAUAUAUAUAUAUAUAUAUAUACUAUAUAUAUAUAUGUAAGUACCUUUGACUUUGAUACCUCUCCUGAAAUUCUCUGUAUAGUAAUUUAAUUAAAGUAUAUAUGCAUGUUCAUAGAGAACAGAAAAACAGAAGGUAUAAAAAUCGGUAUUUGGAAAAUAGGGGGAGGGCAAUAAAUGGGCCCAGUCCCUAAGUACCUUUGACUUUUGACACCUCUCCUGAAAUUCUCUGUAUAGUAAUUAAGUAUAUAUGCAUGUUCAUAGAGUACAGAAAAACAGAAGGUAUAAAAAUCGGUAUUUGGAAAAUAGGGGGAGGGCAAAAAAUGUGCCCAGUCCCUAAGUACCUUUGACUUUUGAUAUCGCUCCUGAAAUUCUCCAGUCAGUUAAUUUUUUUUACAGUUUACAUACGCUCUAUUCCCCGCGAUUUCGCGGGUGUGUUCUAGUGCAUUAUAAAAAACGCACAGCUUCUUAAUGUUCCAUCAAGUAAUUUUUUAAAAAUCUUUUUGAAUGAGCUUGUACUUGAGGUUGAUUUUCAGGGAUAUUGGUAAGUUAUUCCAUAAAAUAGAUCCUGAAUAUAUAAAAGAUUUCUUAUAAAGCUCUGUUUUGGCUUUUGGAACUUGUAAAUUUUUGCAAGAGGCAUUUCUCAAACAAUAUUGGUUUAUUUCUGGCAUUUCUUUAAACUUUUCAGUGAGAUAUACAGGGGCUUCAUUCUUAAGGCAUUUAUGCAUCAAAACUGAUUUGUGGUAUGAGAUUCUGUUCUCUACUGUCAUCCACCCAAGCUGUUUAAACAGUGGAGCUGAUGAUGAAAGUGGAUCAGCAUCUAAAAUAAGUCUUGCAGCCUUUUCUGCAAUUUUAUUAUUCUGACUAGCUCAUUUUUAGCACAACCACUCCAAAUAAUACAACAAUAAUCUAUCAGUGGGAGAAUAUAACCAUUAUAAAAUAAUUUUCUUAGAUCAAUAUUUAGAAAUUUCUUGAUUUUAGAGAGUAAAAAAAUUCUAGAUGAAAUUGAUGAACAUAAGUAAUUAAUAUGACCUGUCCAGACAGAUAAGAGUCAAUUCUAACACCUAAAAGUUUUUUCAAUUGAUGAUUUUUGAAGAAUAUUAUUAUCAAUAGUUAGAACUGGAUCUGCUUGAUUUAAACGCAGCCUUUGUCUUGUACCUAUAACCAUACACUUCGUCUUAUCCGAAUUUAUGAACAUGCUAUUUUCAUGACACCAUUUUUCAACACAUUGGAGAUCAUCUUGUACUUUUAAUUGCACUAGAACACACCCGCGAAAUCGCGGGCAUUCAGAGCGUAGUUUAAAGUAUCAGUAUGUAAAGUGUUGUUGGAAGAAUUUGUUAAUACAGAAUGACUGCGAGAAUUCAGCAAAAGUAUCAUAAGUCAUAGGUUAUUGGGGACAGGAAAAUGUUUUUUUUUACCCUCCACUUUAUUUCCAAAGUUCCCAAUUUUUGGUUUUCUAUUUAAUUUCAAUAUGAACAUACAUUAGUAUGUUAUGGACAUUAUUUAAGUAAGGAGCCUGUAAUUCAGUGGUUGUCGUUGUUUAUGUGUUACAUAUUUGUUUUCGUUCAUUUUUGUACAUAAAUAAGCCGCUAGUUUCUCGUUGCAUUUGUUUUACAUUGUCAUUUCGGGGCCUUUGAAGCUGAGUAUGCAGUAUGGGCUUUUGCUCUUUGUUGAAGGCCGUCUAACCUAUAAUUGUUAAUUUCUGUGUCAUUUUGGUCUCUUGUGGAGAGUUGUCUCACAUGGCAAUUCAUACCACAUCUCUUUUUUUUUUUUUUGUAAUCAAUGAAUUUUUAUAAAAGAUUUAAUGACUGGAGAAUUUCAGAAAAAGUAUCAAAAGUUCACAUGAAUAAUUUUUAGGCUUAUCUGUAUAUUAUGAACAUCAUCACUAUAUAAAUAAAGCGUAUUACUUUCAAUUCUAAGUUUACUAAUCGAUCCCAUGGUGAUCAUUGAUUAGUAUACAGACCUCUCUAUUUAAUAAAACUCUGUGACUGCCGUGGAUAGUAAACUGAAAAUGAUAGCAGAUAAAAUUUAUUCGUAGUAUAUGUAUGUUCAAAGUAUACAGAAAAACGCAAACCGGAAGUCUAUCUGACUUAAAAUUUCGUACAAUGACGGGACAAUACCCGAUGCCUUUUUUCUCGUUUUCUCCUAAAAUAACUCAAUCUGAAAAUCAUAUGAAUGGAUGACAAAUGCGACUAUGCACUGUACCUAUAGGACACAGAGGCGUGUUGAUUAAUUUAUUGUGGAAAGAAGAGAAGCGACACCAAAAAUGAGGUCUUCUCGUUUAUUAGUAUAGAUAUCACCAAUAGUCUUUCCUGAUGUAUGCAUAGUUGUGUCAUCAGCAUACAAGUCUGUAUGGCAGUUUUUGAUGUGUAAUGGAAGGUCAUUUAUGAACAAAACAAACAAAAUGGGACCAAGUAUUGAGCCCUGUGGAACACCAAAAUUUAUAAACUUUUUAUCAGAAAACUGAUUAUUUAUAUGGACUUACUGUGUUCUUUCACUCAAAUAUGAUUUUAAAAAAUCAACAGUAUCUUCAUGGAAGCCAUAAAUUAGAAGUUUUUUACAUAGAAUUUCAUGAUCAACAACAUCAAAAGCUUUCUUAAAAUCCAAGAGGACUGCCAAAUUGAUAUUUCCAUUAUUCAUUUCAUGUAGCCAUUUAUCAAUAAUAUUAAUGAGGGCAGUUUGACAUGAAUGGUUGGGUCUAAAACCAGACUGGGAAGGGUGUAAAAUAUCAAACUUUGUCAAAUAUUUAUACAGAUGUUUCGAUACAUGUCUCUCAAUUAAUUUUGAUAAUGUUGGCAAAACAGAUAUUGGUCUGUAAUUGCUAGCUACAUUUUUGUCACCAGAUUUGAAAAUUGGAGCUACUUUGGCAUUUUUUAAAACAGAUGGAUAAAUAUAAGUCUUUCAAUUGCUCUGAAAUUGUACCACAGUGUUUAAUACAACAAGUAUAAGGUUUGGAUUUAUUUUAGGGGUUAUUGUGCCAACAGUUUAGGUAUUUUAAGGGCCAAAAACGAGGCCAAAAACUACCAUUUUUGUAGUUUCUGGACAAUUACUUGUGUGUAAGUGUAUGGAUCUCUCUUACAUUGUACCACAAGGUUCCAUAUCACAAAAGGAAAGCUGGGAUUGAGUUUAGGGGUAAUUGCUUAAUUCAUGCCGGAAUUGGGGGCCAAAAAAGGGCCAAAAAUAAGCAUUUUUAUAUUUUCCAGACAAUAACUCGUAUUUAAAAAUCAAAAUAUUUUAAAAUUUUCAAGAAGAAUCUUUAAUUGCACAGUAUUGUGCAAUAGAUUUGUAAGAUCUUGAUAUUUAUUUUGUGUCAGAAACCUAUACUAUGUCAAACAUUUGAUCACAAUCCAACUUCAGACAGAAUCAAGCUUGGAUAUUGGAUAAUUUGCCACAACUAUUCAGGGUUCAACCUCUGCGGUCGUAUCAGGCUGCUCUCAGUGGAGCAUUUUAUUUAUAAAUUAAAAUAAUCUUUAUUGCACUAUAUAUUAUGUAAUAAUUUACUUGGCUUACAGCAUUUGGCUAAGUUUUCCUGCUUAUUAAUUAUAAGAUAUCUAAGGUGGCAGAAACCAGUUAUUUUACAAUAAAUCUAAAGAAAUAAGUUGACAUAUAUAUUGAUAUUCAUUUUCGUGUUAAGUAAAAUUGAAAAUGGAAAUGUGGAAUAUGUCAAAGAGACAACAACCCAACCAUAGAGUAGGCAACAGCUGAAGGCCACCAAUGGGUCUUCAAUGUAGCAAGAAACUCCUCAAAGUUGAUUUCUAAUUAGAUACAGCUCAUAUUGUCUUCAAUAGAUGAAAAUAACUUAAUCACAGUAUUUUGAAUAUUUUGAAAUAUAUAUUUACUAUUGUAACUACUUAAUAUAUAUUUUUUUUUCAGAUCAAAAAGUAACCCAGCAUAUGCACAAUACAAAGACUUAUGUGGCGAUGGUACUCCAUUUUGCUGGUUAUUCCCUUUUGGAAGUCGCAGGGCUGCACAAAAAUAUAUAAACACAGUCUAGCAUUUAUUGGAAAUAUUUAUGAAUUUCUGGCAUUGUAGUGUCUUGGAGUGUAAACUGUAAUAUUACAUGCAGCAGUUUAAUUUUUUAUUUCAAAUUGAAAUGUUCCACAAUAUUGUUGAAUACACCAGUAUCUUUUUCAGUUCACUUUGUCAACAUUUUCACAUGAUAUCUGUAUGUUCUUUGUAACUAAAAAUAUCUUGCAACAUCUUUGCUAGUUACUUUCAAAUAUAUCAAAAACCAUUCUUAGAAGACUACUGUCAAAGAUUGUUUAUGUUAUGGCUGUUAUUACUAUAAAAAUUACUUAGAAGAGGCGAAAACUUAGUAACCAUAGCUCUUUACAAAUAAAAAUAGUUUACAACAUGCCAUCAAGUACAGUGGUAGUACAGGGGGCGGGGUUUUAGGGGUAUUUUUUUUGGACGAUCAAUGCAUUUGAAUAGGGACAUUUGAUUGGAACACUCCCUCUUUAAUCCUGAGUUUGGACCCCCUGAACGGCUGGAUCAUGCCCUCAAGUAAUAUGGUAUGUGCUGGUGGUGCUAAUUUUCCCUCACUGUUACUUUAAAUGCCAAAAAUUUGUCCUUGCUUAAAAUAAUUAACAGCAUUGUAAUCAUUGGUUGUACAUGUUCCUAGUCUGGAUUUAAAGCAUUCAAUGCUGGAAUAUUACAAGUUUGUAAUGAAAUUGUUUUUAUGUACAUUUCCGUUCAUUUUUAUAAGCUCACCUGGCCCAAAGGGCCAAGUGAUCUUUUCCCAUCACUUUGCGUCUGGCGUCCUCGUCCGUCGUCGUUAACUUUUACAAAAAACUUCUCCUCUGAAACUACUGGGCCAAAUUAAACCAAACUUGGCCACAAUCAUCAAUGGGGUAUCUAGUUUAACAAAUGUGUCCGGUGACCCGGCAAACACAAGAUGGCCGCCAUGGCUAAAAAUAGAACAUAGGAGUAAAAUGCAGUUUUUGGCUUAUAACUCAAAAACCAAAGCAUUUAGAGCAAAUCUGACAUGGGUAAAAUUGUUUAUCAGCUCAAGAUCUAUCUGUCCUGAAAUUUUCAGAUGAAUCAGACAACCCGUUGUUGGGUUGCUGCCCUGAAUUGUAAUUUUAAGGAAAUUUUUCUGUUUUUGUAAUAUCUUGAAUGUUAUUAUACCCCCGCUUUAAAAAAGGGGGGGUAUACUGUUUACCUUGUCUGUCUGUCCUCCGUCAGUCCGUCCGUCCCAUGAAUAUUUUUCGUCUCAUUUUUCUCAGGAACUACAAUUCAAGGAUUUCUGAAAUUUAGUUUCAGGGUUUAUCUAAGUCAGCUAUACUGUGUGAUGCGUUUUCAGAUUGAUCACUUGACAACUUCCUGUUUCCCGAACACUUGUAUGAUUUUACACAUGAUAGCCAAGUUGAAAAUUUUCGUCACAUUUUUCUCAGGAACUACAAUACAAGGAUUUCUGAAAUUUGGUUUCAGGAUUUAUAUAAGUCAGCUAUACCGUGUGAUGCAUUUUCAGAUUCAUCACUCGACAACUUCCUGUUUACCGAACACUUGAUAUUUUUUACACUAUUAAUAUUAUCCACUUGCGGCGGGGGUAUCAUCAGUGAGCAGUAGCUCGCAGUUUCACUUGUUAUAGAUAGAGAUAAACUGUAAACAGCAAUAAUGUUCAGCAAAGUAAGAUUUACAAAUCAGUCAACAUGACCGAAAUGGCCAGUUGACCCCUUUAGGAGUUAUUGCCCUUUAUAGUCAAUUUUUAACCAUUUUUUCGUAAAUCUUAGUUAUCUUUUACAAAAAUCUUCUCCUCUGAAACUACUGGGCCAAAUUAAUCCAAACUUGACCACAAUCAUCUUUGGGGUAUCUAGUUUAAAAAAUGUGUCCGGUGACUUGACCAUGAAAUCAAGAUGGCCGCCAUGGCUUAAAAUAGAACAUAGGGGUAAAAUGCAGUUUUUGGCUUAUAACUCAAAAACCAAAGCAUUUAGAGCAAAUCUUACAUGGAGUUAAAUUGUUUAUCAGGUCAACAUCUAUCUGUCAUGGAAUUUUCAGAUGAAUCACACAACCCGUUGUUGGGUUGCUGCCCCUGAAUUGGUAAUUUUAAGGAAAUUUUGCUGUUUUUGGUUAUUAUCUUGAAUAUUAUUAUAGAUAGAGAUAAACUGUAAACAGCAAUAAUGUUCAGCAAAGUAAGAUUUACAAAUUAGUCAACAUGACCGAAAUGGUCAGUUUACCCCUUUAGGAUUUAUUGCCCUUUAUAGUCAAUUUUUAAUCAUUUUUCGUAAAUCUUAGUUAUCUUUUACAAAAAUCUUCUCUGAAACUACUGGGCCAAAUUAAUCCAAACUUAGCCACAAUCAUCUUUGGGGUAUCUAGUUAAAAAAUGUGUCCGGUGACCUGGCCAUCAAAUCAAGAUGGCCGCCACGGCUAAAAAUAGAACAUAGGGGUAAAAUGCAGUUUUUGGCUUAUAACUCAAAACCAAAGCAUUUAGAGCAAAUCUGACAUGGGGUAAAAUUGUUUAUCAGGUCAAGAUCUAUCUGCUAUGAAAUUUUCAGAUGAAUCGGACAACCCGUUGUUGGGUUGCUGCCCC
rnacentral:lncRNA from 1 species